UGGGGAAUAUUGGACAAUGGGCGAAAGCCUGAUCCAGCCAUGCCGCGUGUGUGAAGAAGGUCUUCGGAUUGUAAAGCACUUUAAGUUGGGAGGAAGGGCAUUAACCUAAUACGUUAGUGUUUUGACGUUACCGACAGAAUAAGCACCGGCUAACUCUGUGCCAGCAGCCGCGGUAAUACAGAGGGUGCAAGCGUUAAUCGGAAUUACUGGGCGUAAAGCGCGCGUAGGUGGUUUGUUAAGUUGGAUGUGAAAUCCCCGGGCUCAACCUGGGAACUGCAUUCAAAACUGACUGACUAGAGUAUGGUAGAGGGUGGUGGAAUUUCCUGUGUAGCGGUGAAAUGCGUAGAUAUAGGAAGGAACGCCAGUGGAGAAGGCGACCACCUGGGAUAAUGCUGACACUGAGGUGCGAAAGCGUGGGGAGCAAACA
rnacentral:rRNA from 1 species